rnacentral:rRNA from 1 species
CUGUAUCCAUACCGAACACAGAAGUUAAGCCCUUCAGCGCCGAUGGUACUUGGUGGGUAACUGCCCGGGAGAGUAGGUCGUCGCCGGUC